AUGGAAUCAGGAUGUAGGGUCGGGAGUCUGGAACGGAGAGGGAAGGGCGGGAACAUGAAUGAGGAAGCAGGUCAGGGACGUAGAGGCCGAAUCAGGGGGCGGGGAGUCGAACAAGACAAGGUUUCCAGUCGUGUAUGCAGAGGGUACGGGUGCCUCAAAGAGAUUCCGCCACUUGGGAGUGGUGAUGUGGCUCCCUGUAUUCUCUGCUACGCUGAUUCCUGGCAGGUGUGCUGGGCUGGGGUGCGGUCGGAGGGUGUGACACAUAGCUCUCACUGGCAGUAUUUGAAUGGACCUGCCUUCAUUCAGCUCCCUUCCACAGUGUUUACAGCUUGUGUCUGGUGUUCCAGUGACAAGAUGAGUAACGCAGCACAUGUUUAUGGGAUUAAUUAACCAACAAACUGCAUUAAAUAGGUGUGUGAAAUUUGUGUGAUGAUGCAUUUCUACCUUUAGAAUUAGUUUUAAUUUAGUUUUAAUUUUGUGUGACAGUUAGUACUUCAUGUAACUUUGGACUUACAAACAAACCAAAUUAUGAACAAACUUCUGUUCUCGGUUCAGUUCCUAAGUUGAGGAACCAGUGUGGGUUGACUGCUUGGUCGUUGCUGUUUGUACUGGGCUGUACUGCACACUUUUACCUCUGAUUCCGGUCUCCUUCAAAGGAGGGAUGUAAUUGCAUCACCUGGACCCCCAAAAGACCAAUGUACAGGGGAAAGUGGUGGAGAGGUGCUCUGGAGAAGCUGUCAGGAUGAGUCGCUGCACUGAGGAGAUUUGCUUGAAGGUCUGGGCCGUGUCCCACCCAGGUACCCCCGAGUACUGUUUCCUCUGUUGACCAUGAGAGGACUGGCAAAGACCACCUCCUUGGCAGCUGUGACAGGCUGUCAGAUGAAACAUCCUCUCCUAAAAUGUGAGGGCAGGUGUGAUCGGAGCCUGAAAUACGUAUCCCCAGCUUUCAUGAUGUUCCUGGAAAAAGUGCAGCGAUGAAAAACAAGUGGGUCGCAAACCUGUACUUUGGAGCAACGUCCCUCAGACGUCGAUUUAUAAAAAGUAAUAAAAAAACAGAGACUAAGUUCA
rnacentral:lncRNA from 1 species